AGUGAACGCUGGCGGUAGGCCUAACACAUGCAAGUCGAACGGCAGCACAGUAAGAGCUUGCUCUUACGGGUGGCGAGUGGCGGACGGGUGAGGAAUACAUCGGAAUCUACUUUUUCGUGGGGGAUAACGUAGGGAAACUUACGCUAAUACCGCAUACGACCUACGGGUGAAAGCAGGGGAUCUUCUGACCUUGCGCGAUUGAAUGAGCCGAUGUCGGAUUAGCUAGUUGGCGGGGUAAAGGCCCACCAAGGCGACGAUCCGUAGCUGGUGUGAGAGGAUGAUCAGCCACACUGGAGCUGAGACACGGUCCAGACUCCUACGAGAGGCAGCAGUGGGGAAUAUUGGACAAUGGGCGCAAGCCUGAUCCAGCCAUACCGCGUGGGUGAAGAAGGCCUUCGGGUUGUAAAGCCCUUUUGUUGGGAAAGAAAAGCAGCAGGUUAAUACCCCGCUGUUCUGACGGUACCCAAAGAAUAAGCACCGGCUAACUUCGUG
rnacentral:rRNA from 1 species